CAUUAUUUAUUUCCGGUAAUUUUUAACUUUUGAAUUUUUUGGUUAGGUCACAUUGUUUAUUUACAAUUUUCUUGUAUUCUUGGUUGCAUAACUAGAUAUUGCUAAACAAGAAUCUACAGGUCGAGCAAGUCUCGUAAAUUUCACGAUUGCGAGCCACGCUUCACGCAACCGUGUUUGCGUACUUGUGUUUCGAGUUGCGUGGUCGUGCGGAGUUAUAUUUACCAAAUUUAAAUGUAAUCGUUUCUACUGAUAAUAAUAUACUAUUCUCAAUAUGGCUACUGGGUGUAAAAGAUAAAUCUUAUUCUAUCUGUUCUUCAUGAGUUUUAGAUAAUUUUAGUUGUAUUUCUUUGUAAUUUUGUGUUGUACAAAGAUUAAUUUAACAUUUUCUCUGGAAGUAUUAAUUUAGAAAGAUAAUAUGCUUCAUUGGUGUUGUGUUUUGAAGUGUGAAAUGCAAAGUAAUUGUGAAGUCAAGAUAAAGUUCACUUUUAAACUGAACUAAAUAAGGUAUCUGAGAGACAACAAUGGUUAAAUGCAAUACAAUGUACAGGUUUUACUAGCGAAAUGAAAAUUUUCCUGUCCUGUCUGCUGUAAUCAUUUUAUAUCUGGUAAGUUACAAUUACAACAGUAACGAUUUUUGAAGAUGUUAACAUUUUAAUCUUAUAGGAAAAUAGGAAAACCAGCCGACUUAAUCGAUAAUAACAAUCUCCAGAUUGGGUUCCUUCAAUAAAUAUGGGCUAUAAACACAAUGAAAUAAGUUCCCCAAAAUCUAAAAUGGAGUGGUAUCAAAGGAGAAUUAAAGGAAAUAAUAUUCAUAUUGAAAUUAUUUAUAAGGCACUGGACUGUCUUAAAUUCUACAAUAAUACUAGAAUCAGCUGAGAGAAGUGGUCUACAAAAAACCAGGAAGGAAACGGAAUAUGUGGCUACGAAAGGCAAAAGAAAGGUUUACAAAGCAAAUGUGACACAUUUUUUUAAAAUAUUUAGGAAUAUCAGUAAAUUGCAUUAAAAAAUGUAUGAAAAGAUUUUGUUCAAUAAAAAUGUUUAUAUUUA